rfam:Algibacter sp. SK-16 scaffold23_cov53_read183, whole genome shotgun sequence.
GUAACUUUGAGGUUACAUCUGAAGGACACGAGACAACAAAACUUGGUACUGACGAACAGAAAUCAUAUAAAGGAGCAUAAUUACUUGGGUAAGCAAGCACAUCAUUGUAACGCCCAAAAAAAUACUAAAAGGGUAAUUAUUAGAUGCCAUUACCUAGAGAGAUCUCUAU